rfam:Capsicum annuum cultivar Zunla-1 unplaced genomic scaffold scaffold3768, whole genome shotgun sequence
GAGAGCACAGUAUGAUGAAAGUUGUAAGCUGUGUUCGGGGGGAGUUAUUGUCUAUCAUUGGCCUCUAUGGUAGAAUCAGUCGGGGGACCUUAGAGGCGGUGGUUUACCCUGC